rnacentral:rRNA from 1 species
UACGUAGGGUGCAAGCGUUGUCCGGAAUUAUUGGGCGUAAAGAGCUCGUAGGCGGUUUGUCGCGUCUGCUGUGAAAACCCGAGGCUCAACCUCGGGCCUGCAGUGGGUACGGGCAGACUAGAGUGCGGUAGGGGAGAUUGGAAUUCCUGGUGUAGCGGUGAAAUGCGCAGAUAUCAGGAGGAACACCGGUGGCGAAGGCGGGUCUCUGGGCCGAUACUGACGCUGAGGAGCGAAAGCAUGGGUAGCGAACAGG